rnacentral:rRNA from 1 species
UCAGGACGAACGUUGGCGGCGUGCUUACACAUGCAAGUCAAUGGGAAAGGUUGUCUUCGGACGGCCGAGUAUACUGGCGAACGGGUGAGUAACGCGUAGGUAACUUGCCUAUCAGUCUGGGAUAACACUGCUAACGCGGUGCUAAUACCGGGUAUACUGCAUAGAUCGCAUGUUUUUUGCAGGAAAGCGGGCCUCUGGAACAAGCUCGUGCUGAUAGAUAGACCUGCGUUCCAUUAGUUAGUUGGUAGGGUAACGGCCUACCAAGGCAGCGAUGGGUAGCCGGCCUGAGAGGGUGACCGGCCACACUGGGACUGAGAUACGGCCCAGACUCCUACGGGAGGCAGCAGUGAGGAAUAUUGCGCAAUGGACGAAAGUCUGACGCAGCAACGCCGCGUGAGGGAUGAAGCUUUUCGGAGUGUAAACCUCUGUUAGGAGGGAAGAACGUCUAUUAUUCGAACAGGGUGAUAGAGUGACGGUACCUCCAGAGAAAGCCCCGGCUAACUCCGUGCCAGCAGCCGCGGUAAUACGGGGGGGGCGAACGUUGUCCGGAAUUAUUGGGCGUAAAAGGCGCGUAGGCGGGAAGGUCAGUCAGAGGUGAAAGCUUGUGGCUUAACUGCAAGUUUGCCUUUGAUACUGCCAUUCUUGAGUUCGGAAGAGGGAAGUGGAAUUCCUGGUGUAGCGGUGAAAUGCGUAGAUAUCAGGAAGAACACCAGUGGCGAAGGCGGCUUCCUGGUCCGAUACUGACGCUGAUGCGCGAAAGCGUGGGGAGCAAACAGGAUUAGAUACCCUGGUAGUCCACGCUGUAAACGAUGGGUACUAGGUGUGGGGUUUAAUUACUCAGCGCCGGAGCUAACGCAUUAA